rnacentral:rRNA from 1 species
CGCCCUUAGAGUUUGAUCAUGGCUCAGAACGAACGCUGGCGGCAGGCUUAACACAUGCAAGUCGAACGCCCGAGCAAUCGGGAGUGGCAGACGGGUGAGUAACACGUGGGAACAUACCCUUCGGUUCGGAACAACGUUUGGAAACGAACGCUAAUACCGGAUACGGCUUGAGGGCGAAAGAUUCAUCGCCGAAGGAUUGGCCCGCGUUCGAUUAGCUAGAUGGCGGGGUAACGGCCCACCAUGGCGACGAUCGAUAGCUGGUCUGAGAGGAUGGCCAGCCACAUUGGGACUGAGACACGGCCCAAACUCCUACGGGAGGCAGCAGUGGGGAAUAUUGGACAAUGGGCGCAAGCCUGAUCCAGCCAUGCCGCGUGAGUGAUGACGGCCUUAGGGUUGUAAAGCUCUUUCGCACGCGACGAUAAUGACGGUAGCGUGAGAAGAAGCCCCGGCUAACUUCGUGCCAGCAGCCGCGGUAAUACGAAGGGGGCUAGCGUUGUUCGGAAUCACUGGGCGUAAAGGGUGCGUAGGCGGAUUCUUAAGUCAGGGGUGAAAUCCCGAGGCUCAACCUCGGAACUGCCUUUGAUACUGGGGAUCUUGAGUCCGGAAGAGGUGAGUGGAACUGCGAGUGUAGAGGUGAAAUUCGU